CUUUUUCUUGUCACAGCAUCUGAGAUCCAGCAGCAUUUUGGGUAGUGAGCCUUUACUGUAGCAAUUACCGCAGGGAAUUAUAAUAUUUGUUUAUUCUUCAUUCCCACCUCCGCCCUUACUCUGCACACUGAAACUUCCGGUCGGUCUGGACUGUUUACCUUUGUACCCGCGGAGGAGCUGCUCUGCCGCUGAGACGCAGUCAGAAGCCAGUAAUAAAUGGCCCCAGAGACAUUCCUGGAUCCAGGCUAUACUGUCAGGACAGCCGUGCUCCUAGCAUAGUCAGGCACUGAACAGACUGGGAGAGCACCGGGGAGCUGCACUUGUUCGCUGGCCCAGUUAUACGCAUCUUUGGCAGUGGGAUGAAGGUGACUGACCCCGGAAUAAAUAGAGACGCGGUCACACAGCGCAGUGAGCAAGCCCAUAUAUGCUGACGGAUCCAGGACACAAUACCACGAGGACCUAGCUACACAGGGUCCACACUGGAGGAGACAACCAAGACACUGCCAGAAUCUGCUUGUGCAGGAAAAAAAAGAAAAAAAUCUGACCUGGGCUUUAAAUUUGGACUUACAAGCUUUAACCUUGAGAAAGUCAUGUAUCUUUCUGGGUCUCAGCUUCCUUAUCUGUAAAAUGGGCUCCAUGUUAGUACUUGUGUCAUUGCAUGUUGUGGGGACCUCAGCUUCCCUUUGCUGGAACAGGAAGGCAUCUACAGAGGGGAAGAGGACUGGGAAGUUCAUCAGAUUGAGGUGGACAGUGAGGCACAGCAGGGGCAGCCAGACCGUGCGGUGCCAGGGCCUCUCCCCUCCAGAGGGCGUGGCUCCUCUUGGAUCUCCGCAUCCCAGCCCGCUGACCCAGCGCCUGGCUGGCAGCCCUGGAGGCAUGGGCCCAGCUGGUGGCAGGAGCCCUGGACAGGGGAAGGAGCAACUGGGAAACCCAUG
rnacentral:lncRNA from 1 species